ensembl:snRNA U7 U7 small nuclear RNA
CAAUGUUACAGCUCUUUUAGAAUUUGUUAGGCUGGGUGUACUGGCUCACGCCUGUAAUCCCAA